rnacentral:rRNA from 1 species
GAUGAACGCUGGCGGCGUGCUUAACACAUGCAAGUCGAACGAAGCAUUUGCGACAGAUUUUUUCGGAAUGAAGUUGCUUAUGACUGAGUGGCGGACGGGUGAGUAACGCGUGGGUAACCUGCCUUGUACUGGGGGAUAGCAGCUGGAAACGGCUGGUAAUACCGCAUAAGCGCACAAUGUUGCAUGACAUGGUGUGAAAAACUCCGGUGGUAUAAGAUGGACCCGCGUCUGAUUAGCUAGUUGGUGAGAUAACAGCCCACCAAGGCGACGACCAGUAGCCGACCUGAGAGGGUGACCGGCCACAUUGAGACUGAGACACGGCCCAGACUCCUACGGGAGGCAGCAGUGGGGAAUAUUGCACAAUGGAGGAAACUCUGAUGCAGCGACGCCGCGUGAGUGAAGAAGUAAUUCGUUAUGUAAAGCUCUAUCAGCAGGGAAGAUAGUGACGGUACCUGACUAAGAAGCUCCGGCUAAAUACGUG